AGUGAACGCUGGCGGUAGGCCUAACACAUGCAAGUCGAACGGCAGCACAGUAAGAGCUUGCUCUUACGGGUGGCGAGUGGCGGACGGGUGAGGAAUACAUCGGAAUCUACUUUUUCGUGGGGGAUAACGUAGGGAAACUUACGCUAAUACCGCAUACGACCUACGGGUGAAAGCAGGGGAUCUUCGCACCUUGCGCGAUUGAAUGAGCCGAUGUCGGAUUAGCUAGUUGGCGGGGUAAAGGCCCACCAAGGCGACGAUCCGUAGCUGGUCUGAGAGGAUGAUCGGCCACACUGGAACUGAGACACGGUCCAGACUCCUACGGGAGGCAGCAGUGGGGAAUAUUGGACAAUGGGCGCAAGCCUGAUCCAGCCAUACCGCGUGAGUGAAGAAGGCCUUCGGGUUGUAAAGCCCUUUUGUUGGGAAAGAAAAGCAGCAGGUUAAUACCCCGCUGUUCUGACGGUACCCAAAGAAUAAGCACCGGCUAACUUCGUG
rnacentral:rRNA from 1 species